CCUGCAGGGAUCUCCAUCCCAUCAGAGCUGUCACGGGGCAGGGAAGGGCACUGACCAACCCCAGCGAUUUGUUGUGGGAUGGAAACUCCGUUUGGAUCCAUACUGAUGAUAUCUCAGGCUGUGACAUUCAGCUGGUCAGGUCACAACCACAUUUGGAGAUUACACAACAGCCAGUGAUUUAAUUCCCCUAAUGCUGUUGUAUUUCCUCUUCAGGAAAACAAACAGGUAAGGAGCCAUUCGGAUACCAAGUCACCAUCCUGGAGAGCUUCAAGGAAUUAUAAAUGUUUGGUCGAGAAAAAUUCUGGAAGCAGCCACUGGAAUCCAACCUCCCCCCAGCUAUGAGCCAGCAGCAAACCUGGGCUUUGUCAGAGUCUGUGUGGAGCAUCACAGUCCCUCCCAGGCAGGCUCAGGGGCACCAUCCACUUCUCCAUGCCAAGGGAUUUGCAUUAAUAUCAUGUGCAUUUUUCUCCUCCCAUUAUUUUGAAAGGUUCUCCAGCACUUGGGUCAGUGGUUGUGGUCAUUAUUAGGUUGGGGCCUAAAUUCCUUGUUUCUGUAAAUUCUCACUUCUGCUUCACUUAAUUGCUACCCUCUGUUGGGUUGUUAGUUGUUCAUCUGUUUGCUUUGUUUUUUCUGGGCUACUAAAGCCCUGACCAUGAUUCACCUUUUUAGGAAAGCAGGGAACAAAAUGCUGAAGCAGGUUCUGGAAGUGCUGCUGCAAUAAUUUGCUGGUCAGUAAGUUCCAGACCAUUUGUGCCUUGAAAAAAAAUCAGGAAACAGGAUUUACUUGGGAACAAUUGCUGUAAUAAAGUCGGUUGAAGUUUCA